UAUCGUGCUAGGCCGGGGUGCUCAUCCUACCCUUUUACCAUAAACGGAUGUUCGAUGGGGCUGAAGUCCAAGGGGCGGCACAGGUAAGGAUGUUUCAGUCCUUCCUGAACCGUCGAUACCUCGUCCUUAUUGACUGGUUCCUCUCUGAAUCGGAUCAGGGCAGGAAUGCAGCAGUCCUAAAGAUUGAAACUGGUGCUUUAAGGGUAGCGGGGAGGAGGAACAGGAAGGGUCAACUGAGCCUCAGUGCUUUUGUCCACCCUUGGACGUGCACAACU
rnacentral:SRP_RNA from 1 species